rnacentral:rRNA from 1 species
UACGGGGGGAGCAAACGUUGUCCGGAAUCACUGGGCGUAAAGGGCGCGUAGGCGGCUAGGUAAGUGGGGUGUUAAAUCUCCCGGCUCAACCGGGAACCUGCACCUCAUACUGCCAAGCUUGAGUAUAGGAGAGGAGACUGGAAUUCCCGGUGUAGCGAUGAAAUUCGUAGAUAUUAGGAAGAACACCAGUGGCGAAGGCGGCUCACUGGUCCGGUACUGACGCUGAGGUGCGAAAGCGUGGGGAGCAAACAAG